AUGUUCUCUGCAGCUCUGAUUCUGCUGCUGAGCGCUGGAUCCUGUGUGCACUGUAUUGAUCUCAUCACACCAGGCUCAAUGGUCGUGCAGCCUGGACAGUCUCUGACCCUCACCUGUCAGGUCUCUGGUUACUCUCUGACUGAUAACAGCUAUGCAACAGGUUGGAUCAGACAGCGUGAAGGGAAACCGAUGGACUGGAUUUCUUAUCAGUGGGGUACAAGUGGACUUCUUCAAAAUAAUGCUCUGAAGAUCAAGUUCAGCUACAGCAGAGACACGUCUGCUGCAACAGUGACUCUAACAGGACAGAAUAUGCAGCCUGAAGACACUGCUGUGUAUUACUGUGCUAGAGUCCCACAGUGAGAGACAAUAACAGGAGAGUCAUACAAAAACUACUUCCUCUGUUUACCACCAUCACUGCACAUUCAGCUGUAUCAGCAUCUUUAAUUUCAGUUUAAAAUAAUCUGAGUAUUGGUUGACUGAAUAUUGGAAUCAUAUACUAUGGUCAGGUUUUAUACUCGAUUCUGAUUGGUCACAGGUUGUUGAUUUAAUUCUAACUUUGAUUAGUGUCCUCUAAGUAGUUCCUGAUAAUGAUCAAAUCAUCUCUUGCUCCUUAUAGUUCAUGGACAGUUUAUAAGUAUUUUGAGAAAAUGAUCUAUGAUAUAUGAUGUUGCCCUGCUGAACGUUGCAUGCAUUAUUUUGCUGUGGAAACCAGAGUUUGUCAAUGAAAGCUGAUAAAGAAAAAUGAAGGAGAAUUAUCCGUAUAUAGGGGAGGAAAAAUAAAUGGGAAAAAAAGGAAGAGGAGUAAGCGUCGGGA